rnacentral:tRNA from 1 species
GGGGAAGUAGCUCAACUGGUAGAGCGCAGGGGGCACCUUGUAGUUGGCUGUUCGAAUCAGUCCUUCCCGGCCA